UGUCCGAUGGUGUAAUGGUAACACGCAAGAUUCUGGCUCUUGAAUUCGGGGUUCGAGUCCCUGUCGGACAG
rnacentral:tRNA from 1 species